UCGGUGGCGGCGGCGGCAGCUCCCCGAGCUCUCAAGUACCUCCUCCUCUUCUGUUUUGUGAGAGUGUGAGCUAGCGACGGAUUCCUCUGUGAGAGUGUGCUGUGCAACUGACUUUAAACAAAAUCGGGUGCCCCUCUCUCUCCCCCAUCUCUUUCUCUCUCCGCCAGGUUCGCAUUGCCGCGAAAG
ensembl:ncRNA T22C1.14 ncRNA